UAAGUUCAUGCAUGACAUAGAACAUAGAUUUUGUUUAGGAGAAUAAUGGCUUAUAUUUCUAAAGCUCUGUCUUAAAGCUGGCAAAAAUAAGCAAUUAUUCUUCCAAAAUAGGCUGAGCCAAACACGCACUAAGUCAGUUAGCUCAUCCACCACACGGACUUAGAAAGUUCACACCUGGUAUGUGGCAUGAAAGGUUGAUUGUAACCAGGGACAUAAGUCUGGGGGGAAGGGCAAAAUUGAAAAUGAAAAAUGAAGUGGACACUAUAAAUGAACAGGUGAUCAUGUAAUUAACAUUAAUCCUUUAUUGUAACUGAAGUUUAUUUUGAUUCGGCCCAAGAUGUUUAUACCGUAGACUCUAGAAUUAGGAUUGGAUGGAAAGGGAAAUAUGGGGGAUAGGUAUUGGAGACAAGGGUUUGUGUGGAAGAGUCCAUUUACAGAAUUCAGAUGUAAUCAGAAUUCUGAUCUGGUUUUGGAAAGAAACGACAAAUAUAUAUUCUGUUAUACUUUAGUGAACAUUGUUAUGGAUGCUUUCGAAGUACAAACUAAAAUCCUGUAGGACUCUAGAAUCAACCGGACUCUUAAGUUUUUUGGGUACUAAGUUAUUUACUUUUGACUGACUUUUAGACUGCCUAUAAUAACCUGAAUCCCUAAUUACAAAGUCAGACUUUCAUGGGCUUCAUUAGCUUGCCAGACAUACUAAACUAUAACUCUUUGCAGCACUACGUGGGAAAUUAGCAAUGAAC
rnacentral:lncRNA from 1 species